CUGAUGCGCGCCAGUCAACCAGGCGAAGGCCAGGGGACCUCGAGACCGGCAGCCCGGACGAUGAACCGGAAGGAGGAAAAGGAACGGGAGGGAGAAAGAUGAGAUGUGCCUACUUCUCCCUGGAGACGCUCGAGGAAGCAGGAAUGCUGGAGAUGAGAGGCCUCGUCUGCUCAGGGGCUUGUUCUUCUGUCUCUUUCAGAGGCCUCGUCUGCUCAGGGGCUUGUUCUUCUGUCUCUUUGCAGGGCUGUUUUGGACUCAGUAUUCACCUAAGCACUCCAAAUUACCCAGCACACCCUUCCUGCACGGCGCUGUGCUGCACCUUCACUCUGGUCACGGGUCUGGCAGUCGGCUCACCAAUUCCUUCUGCUUUCCUGGGACUCGCCGGCUUUUAGCACUGCAAUUCACUCAGCAAACUGGGACUGUUGGUCACCCUACCUGGCAGCCAGUGAUAAGACUUUGCUGCUCGCCCAUUGCCUGGAUCGGGGGCUACUUUGUAAACCGCCAGGAAGACUCCAGUGUUGCUGCUGAAUUUUUAGAUGUUUGUUCAUUGCUCUUGGCCUCUCAUUAAUCCCCUGUGGGUCAUCCAGGAAACAUACUCACCACUGUC
rnacentral:antisense_RNA from 1 species